rnacentral:rRNA from 1 species
CCUACGGGAGGCAGCAGUGAGGAAUAUUGGUCAAUGGCCGCAGGGCUGAACCAGCCAAGUCGCGUGAGGGAUGACGGUCCUAUGGAUUGUAAACCUCUUUUGUCAGGGAGCAAAGGGCGCCACGUGUGGCGUUUUGCGAGUACCUGAAGAAAAAGCAUCGGCUAACUCCGUGCCAGCAGCCGCGGUAAUACGGAGGAUGCGAGCGUUAUCCGGAUUUAUUGGGUUUAAAGGGUGCGCAGGCGGAAUGUCAAGUCAGCGGUAAAAUUUCGGGGCUCAACCCCGUCGGGCCGUUGAAACUGGCGGUCUUGAGUGGGCGAGAAGUAUGCGGAAUGCGUGGUGUAGCGGUGAAAUGCAUAGAUAUCACGCAGAACUCCGAUUGCGAAGGCAGCAUACCGGCGCUCAACUGACGCUCAUGCACGAAAGCGUGGGUAUCGAACAGGAUUAGAUACCCUGGUAGUC